rnacentral:rRNA from 1 species
GACAGAGGGUGCAAACGUUGUUCGGAAUUACUGGGCGUAAAGCGUGUGUAGGCGGCUUUGUAAGUCGGAUGUGAAAGCCCCGGGCUUAACCCGGGAACUGCGUCUGAUACUGGAAGGCUUGAGUAUGGGAGAGGGAUGUAGAAUUCCAGGUGUAGCGGUGAAAUGCGUAGAUAUCUGGAGGAAUACCGGUGGCGAAGGCGACAUCCUGGACCGGUAUUGACGCUGAGGCGCGAAAGCCAGGGGAGCAAACGGG